CCUCUCCCUUCCCCUAUCAUUGUGGUAUACAUGGGUCACUCCAUUUUUCACCAUGUCUUGAGAGACUUUCAGGAUCAAGCAAUUCCUGGGCAAGAAACAAAAGGAAAAUCGUCCCAUUUCCAGUGGAUUUAGGUGAAAACUGCUGAUAAAAUCAGGUACAACUCCAAGAAGAGAUACUGAAGAAGAACCAAGCUGGGUCAAUAAGGAACUGCAGAACACUUCCCUGGCAUAAAUCUAAAGAUGUAUGCAGGUGCUACAUUUAUCUGACUGCAGAAGGGGAGGAGUGGAGGCCCUGUGGCUAGAAGGGGCUGUUCUAGCUUCGUGCUCUGUCUCACAACAAGAACCCCCAACUCCAGAGGACUUCAGUAUGAAAUCCUGCCCACCUAGUGGCACAGCUGAGUCUCCAAACAAUGCUCUGGGGUAAAGUGACAACAGAAGAUUCCCAGAAGGAUUUUCAGAGCCUAUGGGCUUGAGGUAAUCCUGCAGAUUCUCACAAAUCCCAACCAGAUGGGUAUGCAGUGGCUUUCCAGGAAGAAAUAAGGCAAUAUUGUUGUAAGGAGUGAGCAGACAAAGCCGAGAAGUGCUCAGAACAAUGCUUGAAACCUCCACACCCUGAGAGCCAGGUGGAGGAAGAGAUGAAUGCGCAGGCUGAAGUGCAAAAGGAAAAAGAUGAAGCAGAGGUCCAAGUAAACUGCCCACUUGUGCUUUUGAGAAGGAACGUGGGAUGCCAGAGGCUGAGGACGCUAGUACAAGCUGCAGGACCGCCUGCUACUGUCUGGAACUUGCUCUCAGUGGAUAUAAGACCUCCUCACUAUCUGAUCACCGAGACCACCCCUGAGAGACCCACCUUGCUCACACCAGAACAGUCCUACUGGUCCUUUGCCCUGGACCUGACAUUCUGGACUCAUUCUGUUCUCAGUUGUGGAGUGUUAACAAGUAUAUAAUAAAUCAUACCUUUUACUGUUUCAAACAAAAUCAAGGGCACUCAUGUUAGGGGUUUUUUAUGUAUUAAAUGAGGUUGCUUUGGAGAAGUAAGAAUAGAGUAGGAAGGAAAUGCAGGGAAUUGUUGCUCUCUUCAAGAGGCAUCCAUAUAGGAUUAAAAACUUUUUUCUUUUUUCUUUAAAGACAGGGUCUAAAUGUGUUGUCCAGGCUGGAGUGCAGAGGCUCUACCAUAGCUCAUCCCAGUGUCCAACUCCUGGGCUCAAAUGAUCCUCCUGCCUUAGCCUCCCAAGUAACUGAACCUGACUAAUCUUUAAAAGUUCUCGAAAGAGAUAAGGUCUUGCUAUGUUGCCCAGGCUGAUCUUAACUCCUGGCCUGAAGUGAUCCUCCUACCUCUGCUUCUCAAAGCACUGGUGAUGCAGGACAAGGCAGCACCAUGACCUGCUGCCUUAGCCCUGGAGGUGUUGAUGCUCCUGCGGAUGGAGGAACCAGCUUGCUGCAAGGGCCGGACACCUGCAGGGGAGAUGCUGGCACUUGCUGUCUCCUCCACGUGUACUUCUGACUGGUGGAUUUCCUGUCAGUUUCCAAGGCCUGAGAGUUCAUUGGACAGCUGGCUGUAACUGAUAGGACUCACACCCUAGCAGAACAAUCCCCCUGCCACUAUAUAAACCCCUGAGCAGAGAGCCCAAGGGCAGACCUCAAAGAGGGAGCAGGAGAGCUUGUUCCCAUCCUGGGUUCUCUCUGCCAGGAGGUUUGGUUGUUGUAAGUUUUGUUUCU